AAUCUGUUGCUAAACACUUUAGCGACGGAUUUCACCUGUUUAGCGACGGAAAUUGUCCGUCGCUACUUUCGCAUUUUUUUGUAGUGCAAAUACUCAACUCC